AGGACGAACGCUGGCGGCGUGCUUAACACAUGCAAGUCGAGCGGAAAGGCCCUUCGGGGUACUCGAGCGGCGAACGGGUGAGUAACACGUGAGUAAUCUGCCCCUAGCUCUGGGAUAGCUCCGGGAAAACCGGGAUUAAUACCGGAUAUGACCACUUUAGACAUCUGCUGUGGUGGAAAGAAUUUCGGCUAGGGAUGAGCUCGCGGCCUAUCAGCUUGUUGGUGGGGUAACGGCCUACCAAGGCGACGACGGGUA
rnacentral:rRNA from 1 species